rnacentral:rRNA from 1 species
CUGAGAGGUUGAACGGCCACAUUGGGACUGAGACACGGCCCAGACUCCUACGGGAGGCAGCAGUGGGGAAUAUUGCACAAUGGGGGAAACCCUGAUGCAGCGACGCCGCGUGGAGGAAGAAGGUCUUCGGAUUGUAAACUCCUGUUGUUGAGGAAGAUAAUGACGGUACUCAACAAGGAAGUGACGGCUAACUACGUGCCAGCAGCCGCGGUAAAACGUAGGUCACAAGCGUUGUCCGGAAUUACUGGGUGUAAAGGGAGCGCAGGCGGGAAGACAAGUUGGAAGUGAAAUCCAUGGGCUCAACCCAUGAACUGCUUUCAAAACUGUUUUUCUUGAGUAGUGCAGAGGUAGGCGGAAUUCCCGGUGUAGCGGUGGAAUGCGUAGAUAUCGGGAGGAACACCAGUGGCGAAGGCGGCCUACUGGGCACCAACUGACGCUGAGGCUCGAAAGUGUGGGUAGCAAACAGGAUUAGAUACCCUGGUAGUCCACACUGUAAACGAUGAUUACUAGGUGUUGGAGGAUUGACCCCUUCAGUGCCGCAGUUAACACAAUAAGUAAUCCACCUGGGGAGUACGACCGCAAGGUUGAAACUCAAAGGAAUUGACGGGGGCCCGCACAAGCAGUGGAGUAUGUGGUUUAAUUCGACGCAACGCGAAGAACCUUACCAAGUCUUGACAUCCUGCGACGGUUCUGGAAACAGAACUUUCCUUCGGGACGCAGAGACAGGUGGUGCAUGGUUGUCGUCAGCUCGUGUCGUGAGAUGUUGGGUUAAGUCCCGCAACGAGCGCAACCCUUAUGGUCAGUUACUACGCAAGAGGACUCUGGCCAGACUGCCGUUGACAAAACGGAGGAAGGUGGGGAUGACGUCAAAUCAUCAUGCCCUUUAUGACUUGGGCUACACACGUACUACAAUGGCGUUAAACAAAGAGAAGCAAGACCGCGAGGUGGAGCAAAACUCAGAAACAACGUCCCAGUUCGGACUGCGGGCUGCAACUCGCCUGCACGAAGUCGGAAUUGCUAGUAAUCGCAGAUCAGCAUGCUGCGGUGAAUACGUUCCCGGGCCUUGUACACACCGCCCGUCACACCAUGAGAGCCGGGGGGACCCGAAGUCGGUAGUCUAACCGCAAGGAGGACGCCGCCGAAGGUAAAACUGGUGAUUGGGGUGAAGUCGUAACAAGGUAGCCGUAGGAGAACCUGCGGCUG